ACAUGGCAUAGCUCAAGUAGGCAACAAGAUUUACUCUUUUGGUGGUGAGCUCAUACCAAAUCAGCCCAUCGAUAAACACCUUUACGUCUUUGACCUCGAGACCCGGACUUGGUCCAUUGCUCCAGCCACCGGAGACGUUCCACACCUCUCUUGCUUAGGUGUCCGUAUGGUGUCAGUAGGAUCGACCCUCUAUACCUUUGGAGGCCGAGACUUUUCACGCCAAUACAACGGUUUCUACUCGUUUGACACGACAACAAACGAGUGGAAACUGCUAACUCCGGUGGAAGAAGGACCCACUCCUCGUAGUUUCCAUUCGAUGGCAGCGGAUGAGGAAAACGUUUACGUUUUCGGUGGAGUGGGUGCUAUGGAUCGAAUCAAGACACUAGACUCUUACAAUAUCGUUGACAAGACGUGGUUUCAUUGUUCGAAUCCAGGAGAUUCCUUUAGCAUAAGAGGAGGAGCAGGGCUCGAAGUGGUGCAAGGGAAAGUAUGGAUUGUGUAUGGAUUUAACGGAUGUGAAGUAGAUGAUGUUCAUUUCUACGAUCCUGCUGAAGACAAAUGGACACAAGUGGAAACAUUCGGUGUGAAGCCUAACGAAAGGAGUGUUUUCGCUAGUGCGGCUAUUGGGAAACACAUUGUGAUAUUUGGAGGUGAGAUUGCGAUGGAUCCACGAGCUCACGUAGGUCCGGGUCAAUUAAUCGAUGGGACUUUCGCGUUGGAUACAGAGACGUUGCAAUGGGAGAGGUUAGAUAAGUUUGAGGGGACUCCGAGUAGCAGAGGAUGGACCGCGUCCACGACUGGAACCAUUGAUGGUAAGAAAGGACUUGUGAUGCAUGGUGGUAAAGCUCCAACCAAUGACCGGUUUGAUGACCUCUUCUUUUACGGAAUUGACUCUGUCUGAUUAAGCGCGAUUUGAUCAUGACCGUUUGUGUUUUAUUUGUUUGUGUGUCUGUGUGUCUGUGUGAUGCAAUAAGGGAGGGAUCGUGAUACCUCUAUAUGAUCCUUCGUCAGCUUAUCCAUUUUAUUUUUUAUUUUCUAAAUGUAUCUUUUUGUUUUUUGUUUUCUGUUUUGUAUGUUUAAUGUUUCGUGGCUUGUUCAAUAAGAUGUUUAUUUUCCGAAUUUUUUUUGGGUAUGUUACGUUAUACUACAAACAAAAAUAUUAUGAUUUUGAUUUUCUCUAAAGAUGAAAUGAAUAGAACAAGAAGUCAGCAGAUAGGGUGGUUUCAUCUACUUUUGUGGUUGGUAAAUGUGGUUAGAAAAAUUUGCAUUGAAUUGUAAGUUUCUAUCCAUAAAAGAAACAAAAAAUUAAUGUAAUCAAGAGUGGAAAGUUACCAAUGGAUUAUAAAAAUCUUGCAAUUCUAAUAAAUCCUCAUGUCAACGGUACAGAUAAGAUAAGGGUAAGGGGCAAACAAUCUUGUUGGUUCAAAUGGCAAGUAAACAAGGGCAAUUAUAUCCACCUAAUCCAUUGCGUUUUCUUUCUCUAAUCUUAGAAUCUACUUUAAUUGUAUGUUUUUCUCUUUCAUCUACUUUCCAAAACUAUAUAACCUCAUUUCUAUACUUUUUAUGCAUUUAUUUUGAAACCCCUUUAUCAAAAAAAAAAAAGGGGCCAAUUUUUCUUCAAAAAUGGUUACUUUAAGAUUCUCAUAUACAGUGUGCCAAAAAAAAAAAAGGUACCUAAAAUAUUUAUUAUUUCAGAUAUUGGUCAACAUAUUAUCUGUAACAGAAAAAUGUUCACGUGAUAUUUGCGAAUCACAUUUUUCUAGGGGCAAAAGUGAUAUAUGAGAAUCUUAAAGUAACCUUUUCUAGAAUAAUUGCCCUUGUUUACUUGCCACUGUAGUCAUUUAUUUAAUUUAUGUUCAAAAACAGAUUACCUACCUAAUUCACCGAAACGAAAAAUUUUGUUGCCAGUUUUUGUUUUUUUUAAUUUUUUUUUUCCUCUUUUUAGUUUACCUUCUCUUUUUUCUGUUCAACAUUAAACUAGAAGGUAGAGUAAUAAAUAACGAUGGAUGGAUGUGUUGAAAACGCGCUUUAUGCAUGAUUCAUACGAGAGCAGCUGAGGAGGAGACAAAAAACGGGUCUACACUAUAUCAGACUUUUUUUUGUUUUUUUGGUGUAAAACUAUAUCAGAUGGAAAAAUAUCAACCAAAUAAUGUAGAAACUAUAUCAAACUUUUAACAAAACUAUCAACCCAAUAUUUUAUAUUUUAUUAAAAAACAAUACUAAUAAUUUUUCCUUUUCCUCGUUUUUUUUUUUCUGAUCAACCAUUCACACGUUGUUUUUCGUAAUUAUGAUUCUGCAUAAUGCUUUCUCUAAAUCAAAAACUCCACGCCACGGUUCAACUGAUGUAGUGCCUCCACCGUUGUCGUUUGACUCGUUGCAGAGGACACCAUUAUGCACUUCGAUUCAUUUUCAAAAUCGUCUUUCUCUACUGAAUUGUUACUCCAUUUAAUUUUUUGGUCCAUAGAUAACAUAGACCAUUAUACUAGUAUGUUAAAUGUAUACUUAUCAGUUACCGCACAACAUUAAUUCUUAAAGAGGGUUCAUUUUCGAGAAUUGAGUACAACACUACCAUUAGGCCAAAAUGCGAGAGGCAAAAAAAGAUAUAGCAUAUACUUAUCAUGAAUAAUGAAAAUCUUUUCCAUCCAAAUAAAAAUCUUUCUUCUCAUAAAAGAAAGAAGAGAAAAAACAAUGAGUUUGCAUAUCUUUAUCCUGUAGAAUGAUAAUCUUCCCCAUCAACUACUGUAGAUCGUCAACGUGUACUCACUUCCAUUAUCGAUCGAAUCAUCAAUUUAAUGCCUCGUGAAUCACGAGAUCAUAUAAUAUGACAAGAAAUUCGUCCCGUUUAUCUACUGCUGGUCAAUAAAUACUCAUGCAAUUCCCACCAAUAGAUCACUCAACCAAUUUCUUCUCAGGUUCUCUCUUCACACCUCUCCCCUUCUCUAUGAUUAUAGAUAGUAUAUGAUUUGGUUAAAUUAUCUAUAUUUCUUUUUUGAUAAAGGAUUUGGUUAAAUUUUUAAUUGCAGGUAAUACUCGUAAGAUUUAUCAACACAAGCAAAAAAGAUGGCCCAAAAGCUAGAAGCAAAGGGUGGUGAGAUGGGAGAUGUAUGGGAUGAUGGUGUUUACGAAAAUGUUAGAAAGGUAUAUGUAGGGCAAGCACAAUACGGUAUAGCCUUCGUCAAGUUUGAGUAUGUCAAUGGUUCUCAAGUGGUUGUUGGAGAUGAACAUGGAAAGAAGACAGAGCUAGGAGUUGAAGAGGUACUAAAAUAGAUUUUUUUUUUUUUUUUUUUUUUUUUUUUUUUUUAGUCAAAAGGUACUAAAAUAGAUUUAUAUGUUGUGAUUGAUCAAGAGGUAGGGUCUUUUUUUUUUUUGUUGCUUUCCGCAUUGAAAAUUGCUUGGUUUCUUUGCAGUUUGAGAUUGAUGCGGAUGACUACAUCGUAUACGUGGAAGGUUACCGUGAGAAAGUUAACGAUAUGACGUCAGAAAUGAUCACGUUUCUUUCUAUUAAGACUUUUAAAGGCAAAACCUCUCAUCCUAUCGAAAAAAGACCUGGGGUUAAGUUUGUGCUACAUGGUGGAAAAAUCGUUGGGUUUCACGGACGUUCAACAGAUGUUUUACACUCCCUUGGGGCCUAUGUUUCUUUGUCAUCCACUAUCAAAUUGCUUGGGAAGUGGAUUAAGGUAAUAAUCUCUUAGACCAAUCCAAAAACAAAAAUAAAAAAUUAUCUCACAUAAAUAUGUUGUUAUUGUUACCACCGCAAAAUCACUAAAUCACUUACGAGAAAGAAAAAAUGAAGAAGAAAAGAGGGUUGAAUUUGGAAUUCAGAUAAUGACACUUUUAAAAUUUAUAAUUUUAUUAAAUUUAUCUUAUGGGAGUUCAUUAAUCAGAUAAAUAAUUUCUUUAAAAAUAACUAAAAAAUAUUACUCAUAGGUGGAGCAAAAAGGAGAAGGUCCAGGGCUAAGAUGCUCACAUGGCAUAGCACAAGUAGGCAACAAGAUUUACUCCUUUGGUGGCGAGUUCACACCAAAUCAGCCCAUCGACAAACACCUUUACGUCUUUGACCUCGAGACCCGGACUUGGUCCAUUUCUCCAGCCACCGGAGACGUUCCACACCUCUCUUGUUUAGGUGUCCGGAUGGUGUCAGUAGGAUCGACCCUCUAUGUCUUUGGAGGCCGAGACGCUUCACGCCAAUACAACGGUUUCUACUCGUUUGACACGACCACUAACGAGUGGAAACUGCUAACUCCGGUCGAAGAAGGACCCACUCCUCGUAGUUUCCACUCAAUGGCAGCCGAUGAGGAAAACGUUUACGUUUUCGGUGGAGUGAGUGCUACGGCACGACUCAAUACACUAGACUCUUACAACAUCGUUGAUAAGAAGUGGUUUCAUUGUUCGACUCCAGGAGAUUCCCUUACCGCAAGAGGAGGAGCAGGGCUCGAAGUGGUGCAAGGGAAGGUAUGGGUUGUGUAUGGGUUUAACGGAUGUGAAGUAGAUGAUGUUCAUUACUACGAUCCUGUUCAAGACAAGUGGACACAAGUGGAAACAUUCGGUGUGAGGCCUUCCGAAAGAAGUGUAUUCGCUAGUGCGGCUAUUGGGAAACACAUUGUGAUUUUUGGAGGUGAAAUUGCGAUGGACCCGCUAGCUCACGUGGGUCCAGGUCAAUUGACCGAUGGAACUUUUGCAUUGGACACAGAGACGUUGCAAUGGGAGAGGCUGGAUAAGUUUGGUGGAGAGGAAGAGACUCCGAGUAGCAGAGGAUGGACCGCGUCCACGACUGCUACCAUUGAUGGUAAGAAAGGACUUGUGAUGCAUGGUGGUAAAGCUCCAACCAAUGACCGGUUUGAUGAUCUCUUCUUUUACGGGAUUGACUCUGCCUAAUUAAGGCAGAUUUGGUGAUCAUGAACGUUUGUGAAUGUGUGUGUGUGUGUGUGGGUCUGUGUUUGUGUGUGUAAUAAGGGAGGGGUAUACCACCAUAUGAUCCUUCCCCAGCUUGACCAUUGUUUUUUUUUUAAUAUGUUUUUCUUUCUACAUGUUUGUUUCACGUUUCAUGUUGUAUCCAAUAAAUUGUGUACUUUCCUAGUAGUAAUCGCCAGAAAAAAAAAAAAAAAAAAAAAACCUAGUAGGUAGAGUCAUAGCUUACAAUUAAAUAAAUAACGAUGGAUGUGUUGAAAACGCGUUUAUGCAUGAUUCAUGAAUUGUAUAUACGAGAGCAGCCGAGGAGGAGAUAAAGAGAGGGGUCUACAAUGAUCAAUACUAACUUAAUUUUGUAGUGUUGUCAGUCAAUAAUGUAUACCUAUCAAAAUGGGGCCUAUAUUCCAUCACUAGUGAGUUCGUCAGUCAAUAAUGUAUUUUCCGACACUUAAAAAACGUUCCAAAUCAUAAUACUUAUAAUUAUAACCAGAUAAGUUUUACUGAAUCCCAGACUAAUUCUCAAACUUUGCUAUCAUGUUAUUAACAAACAUUACAAUGUAGAGAAAUAUGGAUGCCCUAGUUUCAACUAACACGAUGAAUCAUGUCAAUCACUGUAUAAAUAGUUAAUAAGUUGUGACUUUUUUUUUUGUCGGCUAAUAAGUUGUGACUUUAGGCACCGUCAAUAUUCAACUGUAAUUAUAAUCGUAUAUAAUAAGUGAUUAUAUCUGUCAAAUAUCAUAUAUAACAAAUAAUAUAAUUGUAUGUAUAUAUAUUAUCUCUAUCAACUAUAAUCAUAUACAGAAAGAAAAAAAACAAGUGUUACAUCACGCUUAGCUUAAAAGUUUCGACUUUUUGCACCGUCAUAUUUCACGUGUAAGCAAGAAAUACAAAUGUAAAUAGAUUAUAAUUAAUGAAUUCUCUCGACUCUCUCAACAUAGUAUAUAAAAGGAAAUCUACACAUGAACCGUAUCUUUCUCACUUUUGAAAUAUUUUGAUGUUUUAAAGAAAUUUUUUCAAAAUUUUAUAUAAAUUAUAAAUUAAUUUAAUAUUUUUUGAUUAUUUAUAUUUUUCAUCAGUCUUGUUCAUAAUUGGUUGAAUUGUUUUAAAGUAAAUAUUUCUUUAGCUAAAACAUCUUAUACAAUUAAAAGAAAAAAGUGUAAUCAAAUAACCAAAUAUAAAUUAGUAUUUCAAAUUAUACUUAUUGCAGGGUGAUAAACCUUUUGUCCCAAGUGAAGUUAAACCUAUAAAUAUAUACCCCAUUUAGAGGGUCCUAUAUAACUAAAGUACCACAUAUUUGGUGGUUUAUAUCAUUCAAUUUUUUUGUAACUAACUUAAUAUUUGAUAUGUAAAAUCAUGUUAAAAUAGGAUCAGCAGAUAGAAUAUAUAAAAAAUAAGUCAUGUACAAACGUAACGUUCUUCAUAUCUUAGGUAACGUAUCUAACAAUUUUGUUAAAUAUUAUUAUUUUAAAAAAUUGAACAUAUUAUUUGGAAACUUUUCUUUUGAUAAUUUUGAAAUGGCACUUUGUAAUUAAGAGUUUAAUAAAGAACACGUCACACACAAAAACGAAGAAAGAGAUUAUAGAAAUUAAGUUGUGUUUUCAAUCUUCGUGUAUACAAAACAAAAAUAAAAAUUAGAAAUGAUAUUUCAUACGAUGUUGUUAAAUAAUAUAAUUAUGAAAAUUAGUUGUGCUUUAUAUUAUUAUUUUUGUUGGAAGCUCUAGAAACGAUCGACCUAAUAGUAUAUUUUUGUCACUAAAAAGUGUGAUUAAAAUAUAUAUAUAUAUAUAUAUAUAUAUAUAUAUAUAUAUAAUAUUGUAAUUUUCAACCAAUUCUCGGUUUAGGUGGUUUAUUAUUAUAUUGUUUUUUGAAAAAAUUAAAAAAUAUAUCCUUAUUAGUUCAUUCUUUUCUGGUCAUUCGUUCACACUUUACAACUUGGUUAAUGGCCACUUCUCAAGUUAUCGUUCUUUCAUUUGUUCUACAGUCGCAAGAAAUUAUCGUUCUUUCAUUUGUCAUUAUGCAUAAUGAUUUCUCUUUUCUUUUUAGUGCAUAAUGAUCUCACUACAUAAAAAAAUCUAUCUUACGAUUCAACUAUAUUUAGUCCCAUGCACUCGCUGCAUAACACAUUACUUUCUUCGAUUUAGAGUGAUUUUCACAACCUUGUUUCUGUAUUGUAUAUUUAGUUAGUGUUUGUGAUUACCAAAAAAAAAAAUUGUUUCUUCUUGGCUUAGUCUUUUUAUCUUUUUUUUUUUUUUUGCUUCAUCUAUUUUUCCUCCCAUGACAGAUGAAGACGGCAAGAGAUGCAGCAAAUCUCAUUUAUGAUCUAUCUGAAGAAUCAGCGUCAUCGAUUUGGAGACUCGAACCAUAACAAAAAGAGCAUCACAGUUUCAAUUUAAUUGCUCCUGGCGCUUCCUAUUUCAGCAACAAACAUUAAAUAAUUAAUCCAAUAGAGAUGAUAUAUAUGGAAAUUUCAAAACCAAAAAAAGAAACUUUCAAAACCAAAAUUGCGAAGCCAUAGAAAUCGUGGAUCAUGGAAUUGCGAAGACCAAUGUUGACAUAUGGGAAUUUGGUGUCCCAAUGAGCAGAGAUCACUAAGAUUGGUUUUCGGGAGGAACUUUUUGAGUUCAUGAUUUGAAGAAUUGUCUCGCCUAUAAGCUAUCGUCCAUAGUUUGAGAUUCAUGCGACAAGAAGAAGGUUUGAUUCACUUUCUCCAUUUAAUUGAAUCAUCUUCAUAGAUAUAUUUUCAUACUUAAUCAAUGUUUUUACCAAAAAAAUAAUGUUAUUUUAUUAUUUUGGUUUUAUGUGGUUUGGGAUUGGUGUAGAUUAUAAACCGAUUAAACCAAUGUUUUUGUGUUCUGAGAUUUCAAACUUUUGAACUAAAUAAAUAUACGUUUUGGGGAAUAUCCAAUAUCAAUAUGUAUCAUAGUUUGGACUCUAUCUAUUCCAGUAUGAUAAUUCCCGUGGAAAAAUAUAUCAUCGUCUCUAUUUUAUACAUGCACUUGCAACACAAACCAGCCAUAAAGUGGGUCUAUUCUUAUAAUUUAUGACAACAUGGAACACUAUCAUUGGGCCACGAUGCAAGGAGCGAAGGACGAUGCGAGAAGGUGCUUUACUGAUUUGAUGAACGUGGAGGUGAUUCUGAAUGAUACGAGAUCUCUAAGCUGAAUAUAUAAUAGUAUAGUUUUUCGUAAUUUUUUUUUGUUAAAUUUUUUAUCGCUGCUAAAGAUUAAAUGGCGAGUAAAACUAUACUAUUAUACUUUCAAAGAUCACCCGAGAAAAUGAUGACUGCACAUACUUUCAAUAUCCCAUAGAUGACAUAUCUGUUUUAUUUCCAUCAAGCUAUUCAUCGAAACAAAAGCACAUGACGAUUAUGGGAGAGAAACACUACUCUAAAAUCCCGUAAUAAGCUGCACCACCUAAUUUUUUGUGCCUUGACCAAAAAAAAUUCAAUGUUGCAGUUCAACGAACCUUCUUACGGAGGAUCUUUAAACAAAAUUUAUUUGGUACAUAGAGAAAAAUAUUUUAAUAUAUACUAAUUUAAUGCCUCGCGAUCAACGAGUAGAGAAAAAAUAUGUCGCGUGUAUCUUCUUCCAUUGGUCAAUAAAUACCAAUGCAAUGUUUACUACACAAAUCAUUACUUCAGUCUCACUCUCAGGUCAGCUCUCUCCACAUCUCUCUCAUAUGAUUGUACUAUGUAUAAGAUUUGGUAAUAUUUGUAAUUACAAGUAAAAUUCGUAAAUACAGAUAAUAUUCGUAAGAGGUUGAUCAAACGAAAGCAAAAGAGAUGGCCCAAAAGGUUGAAGCACAAGGAGGAAAUGGCGGUAACCAAUGGGAUGAUGGAUCCGAAUACGACGCUGUGACCAAGAUUCAAGUCGCAGCAGGCGGGAACGGAAUUGAAUAUGUUAAGUUCACAUACGUCAAGAACGGACAAACCGAAGAAGCCCCUCUACGCGGUGUCAAGGGCCGUAGUUUCGAAGCAGAUCCGGUUCCUAUACACUAUCCUUGCCUAUCUCUUCAUUUUUAUCUAUAAGGACAUUGACGUGAAUUAAUAUAUAUAUAUAUAUAGGUUAUAUAUUGUCAAGGGUUUGUUUUGAUAAUGUUCUUUUUAAGAAAUUGACAUUUUGAUCUUGAUCUCUACAGUUUGUGAUAAACCAUCCGGAGGAGCACUUAGUUUCUGUAGAAGGUCGGUAUAACCCUGAAGGACUUAUUCUAGGGCUAACGUUCAAAUCCAACAAGAAGACUUCUGAUCUCAUUGGAUAUGAAGAUGGUACACCGUUCACUCUCCAAGUUCAAGACAAGAAGAUCGUUGGAUUUUAUGGCUUCGCUGGAAACAAUCUCCAUUCUCUUGGAGCGUACUUUGCUCCGUUGACUAAUGUAACCCCCUUGAAUGCCAAAAAGCUAGAAGCAAAGGGUGGUGACACGGGAGAUAUAUGGGAUGAUGGUGUUUACGAUAAUGUUAGAAAGGUAUAUGUAGGGCAAGCCCAAUAUGGUAUAGCCUUCGUCAAGUUUGAGUAUGUCAAUGGUUCUCAAGUGGUUGUUGGAGAUGAACAUGGAAAGAAGACAGAGCUAGGAGUUGAAGAGGUACAAAAAUAGAUAAUUCUAUGUUGUGAUUCGUCAAAAGGAUAUAUAUAUAUAUAUAUUUAUAUGGGUAACCUCACUCAAAAUUAUUUGGUUUCUUUGCAGUUUGAGAUUGAUGCGGAUGACUACAUCGUAUACGUGGAAGGAUACCGUGAGAAAGUUAAUGGUAUGACCUCAGAGAUGAUCACUUUUCUUUCAUUCAAGACUUAUAAAGGCAAAACCUCUCAGCCUAUCGAACAAAGACCUGGUAUUAAGUUUGUGCUACAAGGUGGAAAAAUUGUUGGGUUUCACGGACGUUCGACCGACGUUCUAGACUCCCUCGGGGCUUAUAUUUCAUUGUCGCCCACUCCAAACUUGCAUGGAAAGUGGACAAAGGUAGUAAUCUUUUAUAUAUCACCAUGGGAGCUAGUUCACUAAGCAGACUCUAUAUUAUAAAAAAUCCUAACUAACAAGUAUUAUUAAUUAAUUAUAAGGUGGAUGAAAAUGGAGAUGGUCCAGGGCUAAGAUGCUCGCAUGACAUAGCACAGGUAGGAAACAAGAUUUACUCUUUUGGUGGUGAGUUCACACCAAAUCAGCCCAUCGACAAACACCUUUACGUCUUUGACAUCGAGAGCCGGACUUGGUCCAUUUCUCCAGCCACGGGAGACAUUCCAACCCUCUCUUGCCUAGGUGUCUGUAUGGUGUCAAUAGGAUCGACCCUCUAUGUCUUUGGAGGCCGAGACGCUUCACGUCAAUACAACGGUUUCUACUCGUUUGACACGACCACAAACGAGUGGAAACUGCUAACUCCGGUCGAAGAAGGACCCACUCCUCGUAGUUUCCACUCAAUGGCAG
rnacentral:lncRNA from 1 species